CAACCUAGUACGAGAGGAACCGUU
rnacentral:ncRNA from 2 species